UACGUAGGGGGCAAGCGUUGUCCGGAAUCAUUGGGCGUAAAGAGCGCGUAGGCGGCCCAGUAAGUCCGCUCUGAAAGUCAGGGGCUCAACCCCUGGAUGCGGGUGGAUACUGCUGGGCUAGAGUCCGGAAGAGGCGAGUGGAAUUCCUGGUGUAGCGGUGAAAUGCGCAGAUAUCAGGAGGAACACCAAUAGCGAAGGCAGCUCGCUGGGACGGUACUGACGCUAAGGCGCGAAAGCGUGGGGAGCGAACAGG
rnacentral:rRNA from 1 species